rnacentral:rRNA from 1 species
UACGAAGGGGGCUAGCGUUGCUCGGAAUCACUGGGCGUAAAGCGCACGUAGGCGGGUUGCUAAGUCAGGGGUGAAAUCCUGGGGCUCAACCUCAGAAUUGCCUCCGAUACUGGCAGUCUCGAGUGCGGGAGAGGUGAGUGGAAUUCCCAGUGUAGAGGUGAAAUUCGUAGAUAUUGGGAAGAACACCAGUGGCGAAGGCGGCUCACUGGCCCGUAACUGACGCUGAGGUGCGAAAGCGUGGGGAGCAAACAGG